rnacentral:rRNA from 1 species
AGAGUUUGAUCAUGGCUCAGGACGAACGCUGGCGGCGUGCUUAACACAUGCAAGUCGAACGGAAAGCGCUCUUCGGAGUGACUCGAGUGGCGAACGGGUGAGUAACACGUGGGUGAUCUGCCCUGCACUUUGGGAUAAGCCUGGGAAACUGGGUCUAAUACCGGAUAGGACUACGCGAUGCAUGUCGUGUGGUGGAAAGCUUUUGCGGUGUGGGAUGGGCCCGCGGCCUAUCAGCUUGUUGGUGGGGUGAUGGCCUACCAAGGCGACGACGGGUAGCCGGCCUGAGAGGGUGUCCGGCCACACUGGGACUGAGAUACGGCCCAGACUCCUACGGGAGGCAGCAGUGGGGAAUAUUGCACAAUGGGCGCAAGCCUGAUGCAGCGACGCCGCGUGAGGGAUGACGGCCUUCGGGUUGUAAACCUCUUUCAGCACAGACGAAGCGCAAGUGACGGUAUGUGCAGAAGAAGGACCGGCCAACUACGUGCCAGCAGCCGCGGUAAUACGUAGGGUCCGAGCGUUGUCCGGAAUUACUGGGCGUAAAGAGCUCGUAGGUGGUUUGUCGCGUUGUUCGUGAAAACUCACAGCUUAACUGUGGGCGUGCGGGCGAUACGGGCAGACUUGAGUACUGCAGGGGAGACUGGAAUUCCUGGUGUAGCGGUGGAAUGCGCAGAUAUCAGGAGGAACACCGGUGGCGAAGGCGGGUCUCUGGGCAGUAACUGACGCUGAGGAGCGAAAGCGUGGGGAGCGAACAGGAUUAGAUACCCUGGUAGUCC